rnacentral:rRNA from 1 species
UACAGAGGAUGCAAGCGUUAUCCGGAAUGAUUGGGCGUAAAGCGUCUGUAGGUGGCUUUUUAAGUCCGCCGUCAAAUCCCAGGGCUCAACUCUGGACAGGCGGUGGAAACUACCAAGCUUGAGUACGGUAGGGCAGAGGGAAUUCCGGUGGAGCGGUGAAAUGCGUAGAGAUCGGAAGAACACCAACGGCGAAAGCACUCUGCUGGCCGACACUGACACUGAGAGACGAAAGCUAGGGAGCGAAUGGG